UGCUUAACACAUGUAAGUCGAACGGACGCUUUGAGCAAUCGGAGCGUUAGUGGCAGACGGGUGCGUAACACGUGGGCGACCUACCUCAGAGUGGGGAACAACAGACCGAAAGGUUUGCUAAUACCGCAUACGCUCGGCGAUUCAAUUUGUCGAGUAAAGGCGCAAGCCGCUUUGAGAGGGGCCCGCGGCCCAUCAGGUAGUUGGUGAGGUAAUGGCCCACCAAGCCGAUGACGGGUAGCUGUUCUGAGAGGAAGAUCAGCCACACUGGCACUGAGAUACGGGCCAGACUCCUACGGGAGGCAGCAGUGAGGAAUAUUGCGCAAUGGACGAAAGUCUGACGCAGCGACGCCGCGUGGGCUUCGAAGGCCUUCGGGUCGUAAAGCCC
rnacentral:rRNA from 1 species